rnacentral:rRNA from 1 species
UACGAAGGGGGCUAGCGUUGCUCGGAAUCACUGGGCGUAAAGCGCACGUAGGCGGAUCUUUAAGUCAGGGGUGAAAUCCUGGAGCUCAACUCCAGAACUGCCUUUGAUACUGGCGAUCUUGAGUCCGGAAGAGGUGAGUGGAACUCCUAGUGUAGAGGUGGAAUUCGUAGAUAUUAGGAAGAACACCAGUGGCGAAGGCGGCUUACUGGUCCGGUUCUGACGCUGAGGCGCGAAAGCGUGGGGAGCAAACAGG